rnacentral:misc_RNA from 1 species
CUAGAAAGUCUAGAUUAUCUAGUUGAGUUAGGUUCGGCUUGACCACUUAAAAUAAUAUAAGAUACCCAUCUAGAGAAGAAAAUUUCACUUUUAAGCAUAUUUUUUAAAGCUAAUAUGGAAUGUCCACCCUUUUCCUUACACCACUUAAAUUUAAUCACAACCCUCCAAUUGCACCUAAAAUAUGCUUCAAUGAAAAUCAAAUUAAUAAAUAAUAAUAAUUGGAAAUUUGAAUGAUUGAUCUCAAGGCAAAUUUGUCCUCCUAAGGAUAUCAAUCAAAGCUUUCAAGUAUUUCUUUUCCUUCAAAUUACAGUAAUAAAAAGCAAACUUUGACAUAUGUUCUACUCUCUGCACUCAUCUGGUGACAAGUAAACAUGUUCAGUGAGUGGGCUACUGGGCCAAUCUCUAUCAUGCUUGAAUAAUUCAGACUUUUUCCUGACUUCUAAUUUAGACAGUUAGCCUACUCCAAUGACAUGUCAGAGCAUUAUAGAUAAUAUUUUAUGCAACGAAAGUAAAGACAGCAGGGUAUGGACUAGGAGGAGACCUGGCAGAGGGGUGAGAGCACAGGAGAACAGAUUUAUCACAAUUUAGUCUUCAGUAAUAUGCAAAAGUCCUCGACUCCUCGAGUGAAUCCACUGCCCCCCCUAAAUCAUAGAGAAGAUGAGGCUGAUUGCAAGUUUUUACUACUAUCUUCAUGUAUCUCAACAUUAAAGAAGUCCUGGAGGGCUAUCAUAUUAAUGUUGCUGGAUUUUAAGGUCUUCAUUGCCUCCGCAGUUGCCAAAGCACCAGCAACUGUUGUUAUUAUAGGCACACUAUAGGCAAGAGCCAUCCUCUCAGUUGCCGGCCAUCAAUUUGAUCAAGUGCAUCACCAGAGCUUGUGAUCACCAUCAACUGGAUUUGCCCAUUAGCAAGCAUAUCACCAGCAUGUGGCCGCCCCUCAUGCAUCUUCAGCACUCGAUACACAGGGAUAUCUUUCAACUCAAGAAAAUUAGCUGUUCCUGAAGUUGAAAUAAUCCAGAACCCAAGUCCUGAAAAGGCUUUCGCAAGCUUUUCAAGAUGGCGUUUUGUCAAGUCAUUGAAGCUUAUGAACACAGUGCCAGAAAGUGAUAGAUUCUGCCCAGUAGCAAUUUGAGAUUUUGCAAAUGCCAUAGGGAACACGAAAUCAAUACCCAUUCCCUCACCAGUGCUCCUCAUUUCAGGCCCUAGCAACACAUCACAGCCUGGAAAUCUCCCAAACGGAAUAACUACUUCCUAGACAGCCACAUGUGCUGGAUAACCUCCUCUGUGAAGCCUACCUCAUUAAGUGACACGCCAGACAAAACAAGAGCAGCAUAUUUAGCCAAGGGAUGGCCAAUUGCCUUGGAAACAAAUGGCACAGUUCGAGAAGCACGAGGAUUUGCCUCAAGCAGAAAAACCUCCCCAGAUGCUGUGAUAGCAUACUGGCAGUUCAUGAGACCACAAACGUUAAGACUCUUUGCCAAUUUUGUAGUCCAUGACCUAAUUGUGGCCAAGCAAGAAGAUGAAACAGUUUGUGUGGGAAGAAUGCAAGCUGAGUCACCAGAAUGUACACCAGCCUGCUCAAUAUGCUCCAUUAUGCCACCAAUAAUCACAUUACCAUAUGAAUCUGCAAGUGCAUCUAUAUCAAUCUCGACAGCAUCAGAUAAAUAUUUAUCAAUUAAUACAGGCCGUUCUGGGUCCACCUCAACAGCAUUUUCAAGAUAUGUCACUAGCUUGUCAUCACUAUAUACAAUCUCCAUGGCCCGCCCGCCCAACACAUAAGAAGGACGAACAACAACAGGGUAACCUAUGUCUUCUGCAAUGGCAAGUGCAUCAGCUUCACUCUUAGCAAUGCCUCCUUUUGGCUGCUUAAUCUUCAAUUCUUUAAUAAUUGCAUUAAACUUCUCUCUGUCCUCGGCAAUAUCAAUGGAAUCUGGUGAUGUGCCCCAGAUGCCCACACUACCAGCCCCACUGGCAGAAAUAGGCUUAUGCUCUUCUAAGUACUGCUGGAUGGGUAGAGCCAGCUUCAGGGGUGUUUGACCUCCAAACUGUACAAUAAUGCCAUCAGGCUUUUCCAGAUCAAUUACAUUCAGAACAUCUUCAACUGUCAAGGGUUCAAAGUAGAGACGGUCACUUGUAUCAUAAUCAGUGGAUACUGUUUCAGGAUUUGAAUUCAUCAUAAUCGUUUCGUAUCCUGCACUCUGGAGAGCAAAAGAGGUGUGGCAACAACAGUAAUCAAACUCAAUCCCCUGCCCAAUUCGAUUGGGUCCUCCACCUAAAAUCAAAACCUUCUUUGUUUUGGUGGGAGCUGAUUCACACUCAAUAUCAUAGGAGGAGUACAUAUAAGGAGUAUUGGCCUCAAACUCAGCAGCACAGGUGUCUACCAGCUUAUAUGCUGGAACAACUCCAAAAGAUAUCCGUUUUGACCGAACGUCCUUCUCUGUUGAUUUAGUAGCAAAUGCUAUCUGCUUAUCACUGAAACCACGCUUUUUAACUUCAUAAAAGUCAUCCUUGGUCAAAUCAGACAAGCUCCGAGUCAUAAGAUAUUGUUCCACAUCCACCAACUCUUUAAGCUGAGUGAGGAACCAUUUGUCAAUUAAACUUAGUUCAUGAAUAUCAUCAACUUUCAUCCCCUUCUUCAUUGCAGCAUAAACAGCAUGAAUGCGAUCUGGGUUUGGAACUCGAAGGCUGUACUUCAACUGGUCCCAGUCCCAGUCAAGUUCCUUAAGUGAUGCACAACCCCAUCCUGAGUAGCCACACUCCAGUGACCGAACUGCUUUCUGUAAGGACUCUUGUAAUGUUCGGCCUAUUGCCAUUGCUUCACCAACAGAUUUCAUCUGGGUUGUCAGAACAGGCUGAGAACCAGGGAAUUUCUCAAAUGCAAACCGAGGGAUCUUGGUCACCACAUAAUCUAUAGAAGGUUCGAAACUAGCUGGAGUCUUCUUUGUAAUAUCAUUAGGAAUCUGGUCCAGUGAAUACCCAAUUGACAACUUAGCAGCCAUUUUUGCUAUAGGGAAGCCCGUAGCCUUGGAAGCCAAAGCCGAAGACCUCGACACCCUAGGAUUCAUCUCAAUCACCAUAACCUCACCAUCCAAAGGAUUAACAGCAAACUGCACAUUGGACCCUCCACAUUCUACUCCAAUCUCUCUUAUAAUCUUAAUUGAAUAAUCUCUCAACCUCUGGUACUCCUUAUCAGUCAAUGUCUGGGCUGGAGCCACAGUUAUCGAAUCCCCAGUGUGCACUCCCAUUGGAUCAAUAUUUUCAAUCGAGCAAAUGAUCACAACAUUAUCAGCCAAAUCACGCAUUACUUCCAAUUCAUACUCUUUCCAUCCCAAUAAUGACUUCUCCACCAACACCUGUGAAGUUAAACUCGCAGCCAACCCCGCCUUGCAAAUAGACUCAAACUCCUCCUUAUUAUAAGCAAUGCCACCUCCAGUCCCGCCCAAAGUAAACGCCGGUCUAAUAAUCAACGGAAACUCUCCAAUUUCGCGAGCAAUCUCAAUACACUCAUCGAGCGUGUUCCCAACCCCAGAAGGCGGCGUUUUGAGACCAAUACUCUUCAUUGCUUGCUUGAACAGCUCUCUAUCCUCAGCUUUUUUGAUAGCUUCAAGUUUAGCCCCAAUUAACUCCACAUUGUACUUCUUUAGAGCACCGCGUUCCGCCAAAGCCACCGCCAGAUUCAAGGCUGUCUGGCCACCCAUCGUCGGCAAAAGAGCGUCGGGCCUCUCCUUCUCGAUGACUUGCUCCACUAAUUCCGGCGUCAUUGGCGCAAUGUAAGUCCUGUCCGCCAACUCCGGGUCGGUCAUGAUAGUGGCAGGGUUCGAAUUAAUCAAAACGACAUCGUAUCCUUCAUCUUUCAAAGCUUUGCAAGCCUGAGUCCCCGAGUAAUCGAACUCGCAAGCCUGACCAAUCACAAUAGGCCCCGCCCCAAGAAUCAAAAUUUUCUUCAAGUCAGUGCGUUUGCCCACUUUUGGCGGUUGCGUUAUCGCCUUGGUCGUCAUUUCCGAGCUGCAGCGGGCAGAGCUGACUCGGUGGGACCGCUUCGAGUGGCGUGUGAGCCGCGGCGACCAUGGCUGGAGGUUGAGAGAAGAAAAUUUCUGAUUCUUGGAUGAAAACAAGCCAAAACUGCUCCGUUUCGAGAGAGAAGCUAGGCUACGGGAGAGUGACUUCUUGUUGAAAAUGGAUGACGAAGAGAGGGUUUCGUAGUGGUUUAAGCCGUGGCUCAUUUUUGCUUGGGGAUAUCCUGCGUCUGCAGUUGCUGACUUAGGAAGAUUUUGUCCAGGAGCUGUACUGCUUAUUACAGUACAGUGCGACUCAAAUUAGGGUUUUUGGAUGCGAUGCUGGAGUUAGCAAUCAGUAAGUGUCACUGUCAUGACAAAGCUGGUGUUCAUUGAGCGGGUUAUGGAUCGGUUUAAUUCGAGCCCAUGUCCAUUCUGGAUUUAUUCGAUCUUGG